UGGGGAAUAUUGGACAAUGGGCGAAAGCCUGAUCCAGCCAUGCCGCGUGUGUGAAGAAGGUCUUCGGAUUGUAAAGCACUUUAAGUUGGGAGGAAGGGCAGUAAGCGAAUACCUUGCUGUUUUGACGUUACCGACAGAAUAAGCACCGGCUAACUCUGUGCCAGCAGCCGCGGCAAUACAGAUGGUGCAAGCGUUAAUCGGAAUUACUGGGCGUAAAGCGCGCGUAGGUGGUUCGUUAAGUUGAAUGUGAAAGCCCCGGGCUCAACCUGUGAACUGCAUCCACAACUGGCGAGCUAGAGUAUGGCAGAGGGUGGUGGAAUUUCCUGUGUAGCGGUGAAAUGCGUAGAUAUAGGAAGGAACACCAGUGGCUAAAGCGACCGCCUGGGCUCAUACUGACACUGAGGUGCGAAAGCGUGGGGAGCAAACAGG
rnacentral:rRNA from 1 species